CCUACGGGUGGCAGCAGUGAGGAAUAUUGGUCAAUGGGCGCGAGCCUGAACCAGCCAAGUCGCGUGAGGGAAGACGGCCCUACGGGUUGUAAACCUCUUUUGCCGGGGAGCAACGGGCUCCACGUGUGGCGCCACUGAGAGUACCCGGAGAAAAAGCAGCGGCUAACCCCGUGCCAGCAGCCGCGGUAAUACGGGGGAUGCGAGGUUUAUCCGGAUUUAUUGGGUUUAAAGGGUGCGUAGGCGGAGCUUUAGGUCAGUGGUCAAAUUGAGGGGCUCAACCCCUUCCCGCCAUUGAAACUGGCGCUCUUGAGUGGAAGAGAGGUAUGCGGAAUGCGUGGUGUAGCGGUGAAAUGCAUAGAUAUCACGCAGAACCCCGAUUGCGAAGGCAGCAUGCCGGCUUCCCACUGACGCUGAAGCACGAAAGCGUGGGGAUCGAACAGGAUUAGAUACCCUUGUAGUC
rnacentral:rRNA from 1 species